CACGUAGGGUGCAAGCGUUGUCCGGAAUUAUUGGGCGUAAAGAGCUCGUAGGCGGCUCGUCGCGUCGGCUGUGAAAACCUGGGGCUCAACCCCGGGCCUGCAGCCGAUACGGGCGAGCUAGAAUUCGGUAGGGGAGACUGGAAUUCCUGGUGUAGCGGUGAAAUGCGCAGAUAUCAGGAGGAACACCGGUGGCGAAGGCGGGUCUCUGGGCCGAUAUUGACGCUGAGGCACGAAAGCGUGGGGAGCAAACAGG
rnacentral:rRNA from 1 species